CAGUUUUAGAAAAGGAGGAUCAUCGCUUCUCGGCCUUUUGGCUAAGAUCAAGUGUAGAAAAGGAGGAUCAGGUAUCCAUUCUUUUUCUUACUUCAUGUGUGAUUGUAUGUAGCACCUG
rnacentral:miRNA from 14 species